CUGCAAGAACUAUAUCGCUGACAACCUAGAAAACCUGAUGGCUUACACUACGAAAUAAACAAUUACCAAAGACAUUUCAUCUCAUUAUCUAUUGCUCUUAAUGCGCUCGGCACACGAGUAGCGUGACGUUUGAAACAAGCAUAACACAUCAGAAACGUGCCUUGUGAAACUGAUACAAUUUAUCUAUUUAUUGUGAUGCUACACGCUUUUAUCUUCAUCCGUUCCGUAUUUUAUCCGCAUAUCAGUUCCGUGGAUCCGCUCCAUCCGCUUCCGCAUUUUAACCUAAUUGUGACAUGUUUCACAAUAACAAGUCUCAUUGACCUUUGACUUUUCCCAGUGUCACGUUGUGUCUAUUUUCAGCUUCU